CACGUAGGGUGCGAGCGUUGUCCGGAAUCAUUGGGCGUAAAGAGCGCGUAGGCGGCCCUGUAAGUCCGCUGUGAAAGUCAAGGGCUCAACCCUUGGAUGCCGGUGGAAACUGCAAGGCUCGAGUCCGGGAGAGGAGGGUGGAAUUCCCAGUGUAGCGGUGAAAUGCGUAGAUAUUCGGAAGAACACCAGUGGCGAAGGCGACUUACUGGACACAUAUUGACGCUGAGGUGCGAAAGCGUGGGGAGCAAACAGG
rnacentral:rRNA from 1 species